rnacentral:lncRNA from 1 species
GACCCCGUCUCCAAAAAAUAAAGAAAAAGAAAAAAAAUAUAAAGUGUCUUCUUAAUAUUUUAUACUGAUUACACAUUGAAAUGAUAGUUUCUGGGACAUUUGUGGCUGAAUAAAACAUAUUAUUGAAAUUAAUUUUAUCUGCCUCCUCUUACUUUUUUAAUGUGACUGCUAUAAAGUUUAGAAUUAUAAAUGUUAUGUUUACUUGUAUGACUCACAUUUGUAGCUCAUGUUAGGUUUUAUUCGAUAACUAUUUUACCCACGCUGUCUUUUGGUGGCUGGAACAUGUGUAACUGUGGGACCAGCCCAAACUGGAUCUACUCUGUUGAUAACAAAAUAUCAGGUUGCCUUUUAGCCAUAACAGAGCCAAAAACUGCAAGUUGUAUAGCCUGGGCAUGUGCAAUAGAAAAAGCUUUGACCUCUAACAAUACCCAGAAGUCACAAUUCUUCCCCUCUGCCUUCAGAAUCAAGAAGAUUGAGACUUGACCAGAACCUGAACAUCAGAACUCUUUAAGAAGUAAGGACUCCAUUGGCCAGGAAGAUCCAAGGCUAAAAUCUGCCUCAACAUACUUUACUAUGACAAAAAAGGGGGGUAAGAUAACCCCAGAGAACUGAAAGAGGAUCCUUUGAAAAAUCCACAGGAGCAUGUUUCAUAGCUAAUGGAUAUCUACAAUCAAAAGACUUGUGAUUUAAGUAUCAAGAUAAACAACUAUCACAACAUUUAAAACACUCACUAUAUUUCCUUUCCAGCUUUUUAACUAUAAAAUCAAUGGCAUGUUAAUGACUCAAGCAUUAGCUUGCUCACUAGGAAUUCCAGAACUUCUAUUUUUGAAGCAUAAAUUCCUAAGUUGCUCAAUUUACCCAGUUUGUCAGAACAAUUGCCAUUAGUAAAUAUAAAUAUUUAAUGAAAAUGAAAACUGUCAUAAGCCGCUUCUCUUAAGCAUCUAAUGACUUACUGGAAGAAAUAAAAAAUAUUAGUGAAUUAUGUCAUUUACUAGUUUCCAUCAUAUAGCAAUCACCUGCAGAUGUAUUUGCUUAUUGUACCUUGCUGUGUUUUGGAGUGGGUUUUUGUUGUAAUAUAUUUAUUGGGUUGUGGGUUUUUGCUUGCUUAUUGGGUAACAAAGAAGUAUCAAUGAUAUACAGGGUGUUUCCUAGAUAUUAACCACGUGCAAAAUUUUUUUAAGUUUUCUCAAAACCUUCAUUGUGCUAUUUGUUCCUGCCAGAAUCCACUGUAAAUAAAAUAAUUAAAUAUGUGUAUGUAAGUGUAAAAUUACAGUUAAAUUACAUUUACCCUACAUUUUGUGGCUUGAAAAAUGCCCUCACAUAUUUUAUUUCAUUGAUCUUCAAUGGAGGAUAUCAUUAUUUCCAGUUUACAGAUGAAUAAAAAGGACUGUUUGACCAAGUGCCAGAACCAAGACUCCACCUAAGACUUUGUUAAGUGAUUUUUUCCUCUACUCAAAGCCUCCCUGAGAUCUGCUACAUUUAAAAAAUAAAAAAGAGGAAAAUUUGCUUUCAUAAAAUUUCUGAUUUCAACUUGAUUUUAUUAAUUGCCUCUUUCUAAUUCAACUCAGACUGCUUGGCAAAUAUGCCUGGACUUUGAACAUAUGGAGACUAUGAGGAAGGGGCAUUACAGGCACAGGGACACCGUAAGCAUCCCAUGGGGUAAGAAACAAUGCUAUGAGCACAAGGAAACAGUGACUUCCAUUGGGUUAAAAAAUCAAUGUAGCCUAUUUCAUGAGUCAAAGACUUCAUGUAAGCAGAUCCUCCUACUCUGACUCAUAGACUGACUCAUAGACAAAUUGGCUGUGUUUUGUUCCCUUAGCUCUUCUAUUUCUUAUUGGUUCAUUGAUUCCUUAUUCAUUGAUACAUUGAUUCAUUCUUCAACAAAUAUCAUUAUGUCUAAGAACACAGGUAGCCUCCAUUUACAAAUACUAGAAAGGAGAAAGCAUUUCAUUGGCUCAUUUUAAAACAGAGUAUAAGAUCUUAAAAGGCAAGGACACUUCUACCUUUCUUCACUUCUAAAAGCACCUGUCACAUAAUGGUACUCAACUGGACACUAAACACACAAAUACACACACAAAAAGCUGAUUUUAAAUUAACUUAAAAGUUAAGAAAAAACUACCUCUUUUAGCCAACAAGGAGUUCACUUAAUGUUCAUUAUCUGUUACUUCUAUAAGGUUUUACUGUAUUUCCCAUUAGAGAAAUCUAAAUAUUAAUGAGCAUCUUUAUGUUCAUUGACUGUGCUAGACAUCAAGUUCAGGACUUUGUCUGAGAUACAAUUCUUGCCCUCAAGCAACAGAGAGGAGCUACU